rnacentral:lncRNA from 1 species
GGAGCACUGAACUGGGUGAGGAACCGAAUAUACAGGGAAUCUUCAAAGCCUGCUAGCAGAGAUGAAUAAGGCUGAAGAAGCAAGUCCCUGGAGAGAAAGGAAGAGAUGAGAGAGACCCCCAAGUUGUGUGAUCACCUCCAGCACACUGGAGACUGAGCCGUUUCACAAGAUGAAGUAAAUCUCCUGUCAAAGGAUUGGAGAGAAGGAACCAACCGUCUUUCACUCACCCACUUAGAACCUUCUGGAAGCCCUGACUGCCUUGCUGUAAGGUCGGCUGAAUGGAAAGAGACAAAGGCUGUUGGCCCUGAUAACAGAGGACAUGGAGAACACUGACGGGCCAGCACAGAGAGGUGUCAAACCUACAUUGCAGCCUGAAGGAUGUCUUCACUUCCUCCUGCUCCUUCGCCUUGUAUCCUUCAUAGAUUUUUCCCGCAAUAAAACUUUGCA